rnacentral:rRNA from 1 species
AAUUAGAUUGAUAUGCCCUAAAGACCCCAGAUUCUGUCUAUUCUCUGACAUAAGCAGGGUCAGAUCUGGUUAGUAUUUGGUUGGGAGACCACAAAUGAAUACCAGAUGCUCCAAGGC